rnacentral:misc_RNA from 1 species
UAGAUGGUGCCUCAAUUACAGCUGGAGGCUUUCCUCAAUGGAACAACAAUGUGCUCGUAGUCACAACUUCUUCAAACCAGGUUUAUGCCUUUGAUGUUGAGGCCAAACAAUUAGGAGACUGGUCAAUGCGGCAUACACAAGCUCUCCCAAAGAGAUUCCAAGAAUUUCCUGGGGAGGUUAUUGGUCUCUCUUUCCCACCAUCUGCCACCUCUUUGCCUGUUAUCGUGUAUAGUUCCAGGGCAAUGUGCUUGAUUGACUUUAGGAUGUCGGUGGACCAAGAUGAUGAAUAUGUCAUGAUCAGUGGACAAGAUUCAACGGUGAA